UUAGCACAAAAGUUAACUUGUAGCAAUAAAUUUAUUUUUCUUGGAUUAGUAAGGUUCCUUCUCUAAAGUCAGCCACAUCUUACUCUAAUCACCUCAUUUGUCUUCUUUGUUUAUUGAACAUUAGCCUCAUCAAGCACUAUCAGAAAUUACUACUUGCUCAACGAACUAAAUUUCAUCGCACAAAUAAACUUUACACGAUUGGAAAAAAUUUGUGGAUUACCUUAACUGGGUCUGGAGCUCACGGUACAAGGAGUGGAAGUACGAGCGCCACAAGUACCAUGACUCUUGUCCAACACCAGAGUCAACACGAGCGGACCCGCCUAAGGGGUUCCUAGAAAGGGUGGACGAGUGGCACUGGCUUUGCCCUCACUCUAAGAGUGAAAAGUUCCAGGUAAUUUAUUUUUUAUAUUAAUUUCAUUUGUAUUCUAUAUUUGUUUUUUAUCUUCAUUUAAGCUAAUACUUUUUAAUGUGUAGAAAAUAUCGGCGGCAAAUAAGGGAAACCGGGAGCAGAAGCCGUAUAAGCACCACUCAGGUUCUCGAUCCCUAUCUUAUCGGGUUGAGGAACAAUGGGAGGCUGGGGAGAAGUUCCCGAAUGUGUGGUCACCCAUGACAACUAUGGUCUAGGGGGAGGCCCAUGACAACUAUGGAAAAAUGUCGCACGUGGAGCCCAAAAUAAUCACAAGGCGACACGUGGAUUUUUGGGUGAAAAUGACAAAAUUACCCUUGAGGCACAUCGAAAUUCCUACGCGGGAGCAGUGGACAAUCAUCCCUCAAUCAAGUCAAAAGUGCCCAAAAAAGGUAACAAGUUCAAAAACCAUCUCAUCAAAUCCCUCUUACAAGGUAACUCCCAAAACCUAUUUCAUUCCAUAUAUUUUUUUACCUCCUUUUCUCUCUUUUAGCUAAUCAAUUAGCUAUCAUUCCAUAACUUACAAAAUAUUCCACAUAAAUUACAUAACCUCCAAAAUAUUCAUUCCAAAAAUGUGUUAAUUGGCUAAUUAAUGGAUUAAUUACCUAAUUAAUCCAUUAAUUGCCAAAUAACUCACACAUUAAACCACAAAAUGCACACAAAAAACAUCCCAAAGGUCAGCCACCUUUUCUCCAAACGGGACCAGCCAUGCCCUAUAAAUACUACCCAUUUUUCUCUAAAAACCUAGGUCCCACUCUUGCAAAACUCCAAAAACUCUCUAAACACUUUUCUCUCUAAAUUCUAACUUUAGCAUCAGAGGUUCUUCGGCUAAAGCCCCCCCCCCCAAUUCAUUGUGGGCGCGUAAGGCUUUUGGCCUUAACCAAAGGUGUUAAUUAUUUUGUAGGUGCAAUUUUGUCCAAGAUCAAGGAGGAAGAAAUUUGCAUCCACAAAUUGGUGUUUUCAUUCAGAGAAAAGUCACACACUCGUAGAAGACUCCCGUAUCAAAAGGUUUUUCUAUUUUCUUGUCCAUUUGUAGAUUUUUCGUACGUUCUUAUUAUUAGAAUUUUUUAUUUGCAAAGAUUCUUUGAUAAAACGUAAAAGAGAAAUACAAUGGCUAGAAAUUUAGAAAAUUUCACAAGUGAAAAUUCCAAUAUUCAAGAAAUGGGACCAAGGCGAUCCACGAGGCUAAAUGAGAUCAUUGGAGCGGCACCCUCGUUACGGGGCUCCGUCGUGGC
rnacentral:lncRNA from 1 species